ACCAAACUCAAACAUAACCACCUACGAACAUAACCGGACGAGUUAUCAGGUAAACACAUAAGUUCAGAGCAUAGGUUAACUGCAGUCAAGUAGGACUAAAAUAAAAUACAUCACCCUCAGGUGAGUCCUACAUGUCGAAGGUCUGUCAAAGCCGGAAAAGACCUCGAGAGCCACCAACCGCUAAUUUAGAACCUGGAGGGGCGCAAAACAAAAUGAGUGGGUCAGUAAAACCAAAGAUUUUCCAAAACAUUUCAAUUAAAACAUUUCUAACCCCUCACCGUAAAACCUGUAUACAUUCCCCAGAAAAAGUAGAUAUAUAUAAAACCAUAUGAAAUCUCAAAACUUAAAUCCCAAAUCUUUAACAUUUUUCAAGGAAACAUGCCAUGCAAUAAAUCAAAAUAUAAAUCAGGUGAAAUAAGGAAUCAAUCGGAGACCCUGCAGUUGGUCCUAUACGAUUAAUUCAACAGCUCAAUAUCCCACUAAGCCGGAGCCACCACAGUGACCUGUACGGCCCUACUCUGCACAUCACUCGGAACUACGUGAGGUAGUCUGUACGAUGAAAGGUGUAAAAAUACGCUCUAGUGCUUCUCUCAUCAUAUCAUCAACGCGCAUAUCUAAGGUCACCCACCAGUCGGAACCCCUCUAAUGGUCUGUACGACUGGCAUGUCGGAACCCUCACAUGGUCUGUACGACAUCCACCUACUUGGAUCCAAGGCGAGCGUGCGGUGUGGUGAAUAAAAUAAGCACUAACACCUAGGGUGCAGGUUAUGAGCUUGAAACAUCUUAUCAACAAUCAAUUAAAUGAAUAAUGAACUCACCUGACUUACCUGUGCCUCCACAGCACCAUGCAACAUGUAUGCAUCAUAUAUCAAUCAUAUAACUCAUAUGAAAUUCACAUUUUCCAAAUAAUUCUAUGCAUGGCAUUUUCAAAACAUAAUUUCGUAUAAAUUCAUCUUCUGGGAAAAAUUAAUAGUAUAAAGGUAAUACGAAAACAAAACUGCCCACUCACUGAUAAGUCGACGGGUCGUAACCCCCGUGGCGUCCCUGGAUGCGGUCGUCCUCGGGAUACGUCUCACCACCUAUAUGCGAAAUAACUAUAAAAACGUUAAUUUUAAACACAUCACCAAUAUUUUCGAAAUAAUUUCUCAUACGAUGCUCAAUUUGGGUAUAUGAAUAUACCACAUCGACCUACUCGACGUCACGAGCGUCGAGAAAUUUUUAGAAACUGAUUUGGACUCCCCACGCGCCCUCACACGCCGGCUAGAGCUCGGCUCUACGCGCAGGCCACACGCAGCCACGCGCGGCACGUGUCAUCGUCUUCCCCAGGGUUCGCCGGACUGGUUUUUCCGGCGACCCAAUUCCGGCCAAACUUUAAACCUCUUGUUCUCCUUCGUUUUUCACCCAUUUUCUUCGUAUUUUAUACCAAAUUGAAGCCCUAAGAGUGUACUAUCACGUUGGACUAGUUUUAGGGUCUAAAAAUCAAGAAAUCUCACCGAGCAAAAUCCAAGAAUUCGGCCAACUUUGAAACCCACGAUCCCGACGUCCAAAUCCUUCAAACGAACGUCCCCGAGCUUCCUUAAGCCCUCACUAAGCUUGCUAUAAGCUUGAAUUCCCCUGAAACACAACAUUUUACGUUCGCAUGAACAGUACCCAAAAAUGGAGGUUUCGGAUUCCACGUGAAAUCGAAGGUCUCACUUCCUAAAACUAGCACCAAUGAACUCAGGACGUCAAAAGGAUGAAGAUACAUACCUUAUUUGCCUCGAUCCGUCAAGUUUUGAAGGGUUUUGGUGGUGGUCCGUACGUGGAGGGUGAGGGAAAGAGAGAGAUCGUGAGGGAGAGAGACAGAGAGUGCUACGGGAGGGAGAGAAGACAGGGAGUGCGUGUGUGUGUGAUUGUGUGGUCCAACACAAUCCUCACCAUCCAUCCAAAUCCCUAACCACAAAAAUUCCAAUUCCAAUAGUUUAAUCCCAAAACUUACAAAAUUAAUUCAGAUAAUGUCACACACACACGUACCCAAAUGUCCGCCAAGGGUAAUUACGUCAAUUCACGCCCCCGAUAUAGAAAUCCCAGGACGGGCUGUGACAAUCUCCCCUCCUUAUAGAAUUUCGUCCCCGAAAUUCCCACAAUCAAAUAACCACUUAGUACCCAUAAAAUAACCUUAGGUACAUCUCUCUCAUCCGAUCUUCCGUCUCCCAGGUAGCUUCCUCUGCAGAAUGGUUCCUCCACAACACCUUAACCAAACUCACCGUCUUGUUCCUUAGAACCUUAUCUUUCCAAUCCAAUAUAGUGACCGGCUCCUCAUCAUACGUCAAAUCCGGAUUAAUCUCUAACGGUUGAGGAAGGAUCACAUGAGAAGGAUCAGAAAUAUAAUGUCGAAGCAUGGAGACGUGGAACACAUUAUGGACCUUAGAUAACUCCGGAGGCAGCACUAACCGGUAGGCAACUUCACCAACUCUUUCGGUGAUCACAUAAGGUCCAAUGUAUCUCGGACUUAGCUUUCCUCUUUUUCCAAAUCGAACCACACCUCUCCAAGGUGACAAUUUCAAAAACACCCAAUCACCCACAUCAUAUACUCGAUCAGUAGUAUGCCGAUCCGCUAAACUCUUCUGUCGAUCCUGGGCUGCUUUCAAGUUUGACUUAAUUACCUGAACAUUUUGAGUUGUCUCAUCCACAAUCUCAGGGCCUUCUAACACCCUUUCACCAACCUCAGACCAACAUAAUGGUGUUCGACACGCCCUACCAUAAAGUGCCUCAAACGGAGACAUACCAAUGCUUGAGUGAAAACUGUUAUUAUAAGCAAACUCCAUCAAAUCUAGACGAUCAUGCCAGGAAUCACCAAAUUGUAACACCGAAGAUCUCAACAUAUCUUCCAACGUCUGGAUGGUCCUCUCUGAUUGCCCAUCAGUUUGAGGAUGAUAAGCUGUGCUAUACAGUAAUUGUGUACCCAGAGCUUCCUGAAAAGCCACCCAGAAUUUAGAAGUAAAUCUUGGGUCUCGGUCAGAGAUAAUAUUUACUGGAACUCCAUGAUACUUUACAAUCUUUGAAAUAAACAACUUAGCCAAUUUAUUCAGAGGGUAUUUCUCCCUCACUGGAAUGAAAUGCGCUGACUUGGUAAGUCGAUCUACAAUCACCCAAACGCCAUCAAAUCCAUUUCGGGUACGAGGAAGUUUAUACACAAAAUCCAUGGUUAUAUUUUCCCAUUUCCACUGGGGAACGGGAAGUGGCUGCAUUCGCCCAAAGGGCUUCUUUCUUUCCGCUUUAACCUGCUGGCAAAUAAUACAUCUACUCACAUAAUCUGCAAUUUCUCUUUUCAUACCCGGCCAAUAAUAAAAUGGUCGAAUGGUAUGGUACAUUUUUGUUCCUCCCGGGUGCAUCGCAUAAGCUGAACAAUGUGCUUCAUCUAGAAUUUCCUUCUUCAAUUCCUCAUUAUUCGGAACACACAUUCUGUUUUCUUGCAUGAGCAUACCAUCUGAUUCCCGAAUUCUGAGGUCUUUCUUUUUCCCUUCACUUCUUAACUGAACCAACUCCUGAAUUUCUUCAUCCACCAUCUGAGCUGCAAGUAUACGAUCCACCAAAACUGGCCUGACUUGAAAACUAGCAAGAAAAGCUCCAUCUCGGUUUUCAAAUUCCAACCUUACCCCCGUUGUCCUCAAUUCAGCAAGAAGAGGAACACGACUAGCAUAUAAGGCAUUAAGCCUACCUUGAGGUUUCCUACUCAGUGCAUCCGCUACCACAUUAGCACGACCUGGAUGAUACUCAAUAGUACAAUUAUAAUCACUUAACAAUUCCAUCCACCUUCGCUGAUGAAGAUUAAGAUCAUGCUGAGUAAAUAAAUACUGAAGACUCUUGUGAUCAGUGAAAAUCUUACACUUCUCACCAUACAAAUAAUACCUCCAAAUCUUUAAAGAAAAAACAAUUGCUGCCAAUUCAAGGUCGUGAGUAGGAUAAUUUCUUUCAUGAUUUUUCAACUGCCUAGAAGCAUAGGCAAUCACCUUAUUAUGCUGCAUCAAAACACAUCCCAAACCAUUUAAUGAAGCAUCACUAUAGAUCUCAAAAUUACCGCUAUCAUCAGGAAGUACCAACACCGGUGCAUGGGUGAGGCAAUACUUCAAUUGCUGAAAACUCCGCUCACAAUUCUCAUCCCACUCAAAUUUAACAUCCUUCCUGGUCAACUUUGUUAACGGUAAAGCAAUCAUGGAGAAAUCCUGAACGAACCGUCGAUAAUAACCUGCUAAACCCAGAAAACUGCGUACCUCAGUGACGGUUCGAGGUUGCUCCCAAUUCUCCACCGCUGCUAUCUUUUGAGGAUCAACUUGAAUUCCUUGAGCCGAUACAACAUGCCCCAAAAAUGCCACUUCGGACAACCAAAACUGACAUUUACUGAACUUGGCAUACAACUGAUGCUCCCUUAAUUUCCUUAACACCAAAUUAAGGUGUCGGAUAUGAUCUGCUUGGGAUUUAGAGUAUACCAGAAUAUCAUCAAUAAAAACAAUAACAAAUUUAUCAAGAUAUUUCUGGAAUACCUCAUUCAUCAAUCUCAUAAAAGCUGCAAGUGCAUUAGUCAACCCAAACGGCAUAACCAAAAAUUCAUAAUGUCCAUACCGAGUCCGGAAGGCCGUCUUAGGUACAUCAUCUUCCUUAAUCUUCAAUUGGUAAUACCCAGAUCUCAAAUCAAUCUUAGAAAAUACACACGCACCUUUCAGUUGAUCAAAUAAAUCAUCAAUACGAGGCAAUGGAUAACGGUUUUUAAUCGUUACCCGGUUCAAUUGCCUAUAAUCAAUACACAAUCGCAGAGUUCCAUCCUUCUUCCUCACAAAUAAUACUGGGGCACCCCAAGGUGAAGAACUAGGUUGAAUAAAACCCUUAUCAAGUAAUUCUUGCAACUGGAUUUUUAAUUCUCUCAACUCAGCAGGAGCCAUUCUAUAAGGAGUCAGAGAUAUAGGGUCCGUACCUGGAAGCAAAUCAAUAGUGAAUUCCACCUCCCUGUCUGGUGGCAAUCCUGGCAAAUCAUCAGGGAAUACGUCCGGAUAAUGUCUGACCACACCAACUUCUUCUAUACUAGUGGGGGCAACCUCAUUUAACACCACAUGCGCCAAAUAUCCCUGACAACCCUUCGAUAACAAUUUCCUCGCCCUUAAGGCAGAAAUAACCCCAUGUCUCACCCCACUUCUCUCGCCCACAAAAGUAACCUCGGGUAAUCCAGGACGAUAAAAAGUAACUGAUUUACCAUAACAAUCAAUAUGGGCACGAUUAUGGUGUAACCAAUCAGCCCCUAAGAUCACAUCAAAAUCCACAAUAUCUAACGGAAUAAGAUCAGCGGACAUAAUCAUGCCCUCAACCAUCACUGGACACCCAAGAUACACACUAUCCACAUAACAUUUAUCUCCUUUAGGCAUGGCAAACUCUAAAUCAAAUCCUAGAGGUGAAGGGUGAGGUUGGGUCAUUUGAGCAAACGUAUGAGAAAUCAUAGAGUGCGUAGCACCACAAUCAAUCAAAACCUUAGCAAAAUGACCAAGAACAUUUAACGUACCCAUGAUCAAGUCUGGAUGGUUCUGAGCCUCCUGCAGAGAAAUAUGAUUAACUCGUCCCUGAGCUUGCUGACGUCCACCUCGGCCUCUACUGCCCUGAUUACCUCGUCCCUGAGGAUUACGCCCCUGGCCUGGCUGACUAGGCUGCCUGGAUGAUCCUGCCCCACCAGUAGCAACUUCCCCCUGACGGGGCUGGCCUCCCUGAUGCCACUGCGAUCCACCAACUGGCAUAGAGGAAUAAGAUGAAUAACCUCCAAAAUCCUGAGAAUACCCAGCUUGAGAAUGAGGUCCUGGGAAUACUGAUAAGGUCCGGGAGCAUACGGAGCAGCAUCCCCCUGAUAGUGGUAGGCACCACCACGACUCGGCUAGCCAUAACCGCCUGAUCCAAAACUCUGCUGAACUGGUGCUGGAGGUGGCAUAGUGGUCUGCUGCGGUCUCUGCUGACCCUGGGGGCACUGAGAAGCCCGAUGUCCCAUCUGCCCACACGUAAAACAAGCACCAGUACCUCUCCUACACUCACCAUGGUGACGGAAGUUACAACGGCGGCACCAUGGAGCGCCAGAUCCACCAGCACCACCUAAAUCCCUUUGACCCUGAAACCUGGGUCCACCAGAAAAUCUUCCACCACCUCUCCUCGGGCCAGUAAAACUAUAUCCCCCACUAGAAGAACUCGAACUCGCUCCACUCUUCUUAAAAUUCUGUGUCUGCCGAGGUCCCGGAAUGGAGAUACCCUUACCUUUAUCAUUCUUCUUCUGACCCUCAUUCUUGUCCUCAUCAUCCUCACUGUCAGGAAGAUUAUCAGAGUCCUCCAUCCUAACCAAAAUCUCGAAAUACUCAUGAUAAUCAGCGCAGGGAAGUGCAUUGGCAAAGGUACGCCACUUCUUCUUAGAUCCCAACUUGAAACGUCGAAGCAUCUCUCCCUGAUUACCAGCUAUAUCAGGGUCAUAACGAGACAAAUCAGUAAACCUUCUAUAAUAUUCAUGUGCCAACAUAUUUCUCUGUUUCAACCUGGUGAAUUCCUGUUUCUUAUGAUUAAUAUACUCAGGAGGGACGAAUCUCUUCAUAAAAUUCUCUUUGAACACUUUCCAAUCGGCUGCCGUCUCAGGUGACAUGUACCUAGUCUGAUUCAUCCACCAUGCUGCUGGUUCACGACCCAAAAACCAAGUGGUGGUCUCCACCCACCUAUUAGCAGGGAGAUUCCCCUGACUCUGCAUCACCUGGAAGGUCUUCUCAAUAUGAUCUAGCCAUUUCUCUGCCCCCUCAUGACUUUCAUUACCCAUAAACCGAUCUAACUUCAAGUUGUACAUGGUCUCCAGAGGUGUCCUCGGAGGAGGGGGAGGACGAAUCACAUUCUGUAAAGCUUGGGCCAUCGCUUCCCCUAGCUGAGUAAUAUCCGGGAAAUUAGGUUCAGAAGUACGGCGGGACUCCCUACGCUCCCUACGAGGCGGCAUGAUUCUGACAGAAAACAUCAAAAGAUCGUUAAGACAUUAACAAAUUUACAGGACUGCAACCUAAGCUCAGAUACCAAACUGACACACCCCGAUCCGGAGGAUCCAGGUGUGCUGGCCGUCACGUGGGCGUGACGUAACCAUCGGCGCGACACGGAAGCAAAAUAACAAUAUAACUCAGCAGAAAUUCAACCAAACUCAAGCAUAACCACCUACGAACAUAACCGGACGAGUUAUCAGGUAAACACAUAAGUUCAGAGCAUAGGUUAACUGCAGUCAAGUAGGACUAAAAUAAAAUACAUCACCCUCAGGUGAGUCCUACAUGUCGAAGGUCUGUCAGAAAGCCGGAAAAGACCUCGAGAGCCACCAACCGCUAAUUUAGAACCUGGAGGAGCGCAAAACAAAAUGAGUGGGUCAGUAAAACCAAAGAUUUUCCAAAACAUUUCAAUUAAAACAUUUCUAACCCCUCACCGUAAAACUUGUGUACAUUCCCCAGAAAAAGUAGAUAUAUAUAAAACCAUAUGAAAUCUCAAAACUUAAAUCCCAAAUCUUUAACAUUUUUCAAGGAAACAUGUCAUGCAAUAAAUCAAAAUAUAAAUCAGGUGAAAUAAGGAAUCAAUCGGAGACCCUGCAGUUGGUCCUAUACGAUUAAUUCAACAGCUCAAUAUCCCACUAAGCCGGAGCCACCACAGUGACCUGUACGGCCCUACUCUGCACAUCACUCGGAACUACGUGAGGUAGUCUGUACGAUGAAAGGUGUAAAAAUACGCUCUAGUGCUUCUCUCAUCAUAUCAUCAGCGCGCAUAUCUAAGGUCACCCACCAGUCGGAACCCCUCUAAUGGUCUGUGCGACUGGCAUGUCGGAACCCUCACAUGGUCUGUACGACAUCCACCUACUUGGAUCCAAGGCGAGCGUGCGGUGUGGUGAAUAAAAUAAGCACUAACACCUAGGGUGUAGGUUAUGAGCUUGAACCAUCUUAUCAACAAUCAAUUAAAUGAAUAAUGAACUCACCUGACUUACCUGUGCCUCCACAGCACCAUGCAACAUGUAUGCAUCAUAUAUCAAUCAUAUAACUCAUAUGAAAUUCACAUUUUCCAAAUAAUUCUAUGCAUGGCAUUUUCAAAACAUAAUUUCGUAUAAAUUCAUCUUUUGGGAAAAAUUAAUAGUAUAAAGGUAAUACGAAAACAAAACUGCCCACUCACUGAUAAGUCGACGGGUCGUAACCCCCGUGGCGUCCCUGGAUGCGGUCGUCCUCGGGAUACGUCUCACCUAUAUGCGAAAUAACUAUAAAAACGUUAAUUUUAAACACAUCACCAAUAUUUUCGAAAUAAUUUCUCAUACGAUGCUCAAUUUGGGUAUAUGAAUAUACCACAUCGACCUACUCGACGUCACGAGCGUCGAGAAAUUUUUAGAAACUGAUUUGGACUCCCCACGCGCCCUCACACGCCGGCUAGAGCUCGGCUCUACGCGCAGGCCACGCGCAGCCACGCGCGGCACGUGUCAUCGUCUUCCCCAGGGUUCGUUGGACUGGUUUUUCCGGCGACCCAAUUCCGGCCAAACUUUAAACCUCUUGUUCUCCUUCGUUUUUCACCCAUUUUCUUCGUAUUUUAUACCAAAUUGAAGCCCUAAGAGUGUACUAUCACGUUGGACUAGUUUUAGGGUCUAAAAAUCAAGAAAUCUCACCGAGCAAAAUCCAAGAAUUCGGCCAACUUUGAAACCCACGAUCCCGACGUCCAAAUCCUUCAAACGAACGUCCCCGAGCUUCCUUAGGACCUCACUAAGCUUGCUAUAAGCUUGAAUUCC
rnacentral:lncRNA from 1 species